GCCCCCAUCGUCUAGUGGCCUAGGAUACUGGGUUUUCAUCCCAGCGACAGGGGUUCGAAUCCCCUUGGGGGUACCA
rnacentral:tRNA from 1 species